UCUCUCUCCCUCCCUCCCUCUUUUUCAGUUUUCUGACCUUGUUGAAAUUUGGAGAACCAAAAGGAGGGAUGAAUUGAAUUGUUUGUUGAAUUGGGUUCAAAAAUUUGAGUGUCUUCAGUCUUCAAUUUGCCGGAAGUGGUAAUUUUUUCUGGGCUCUAGGUCUAGGUGCUGGUGUUGCUUUUAAAGGGCAGUACGAUUGUUCCCUCCUCCUCUGAACCUUAUCGUCACCCGACACCUGACUCUGCCCAACAACCCACCCUAAACCCCUCAAACCCAGAAACCCAUCUUCGAUCUUCACCUAUGUGCGAUGAUGCUGGAAUAUGGAAAAGCAGUUCGAGAGAGUGAAUACGAGCAACUUCGUGUUGUGUUUACGUUGAGAUACACAUGGGAAGCACGUGAUAGCAAUACAACCCUAAAGCAAUCUCAGAGCGAUCGAUCGAUCCCUUUCUCUCAUCGUUCUCCAGAGGAGGUGAUUGAGGUUGCGAGUUCCGGCUGUGGUGAGAGGCACCUGAUCGAUACCCUUCUCCUUCUCAUCGUCAUCUCGCUCAUCGUUACCCUUCUCCCCCAAUUUUUGAUUCAGCCCCUCCAAUUCGAUUCGUAAAUUGGAGGCGAUAUAUAUGUUGUGGUUUCGAAUAAGUCACUCGAUUGGCGGCGGCUUAUUGGGUUUGGGCAGAGAUUGAAUCUCAUGUGCAACCUGGAUCUGUAUCAGUAUAUGUUCAUUAUGGACAAAAGUAGACCAAAGGAUGCAAAUCUUUUAGCUCAAAGCCAUGUUGUGAUCACUACAUAUGGAGUUUGAGCAUCAGAAUUUUCUAUAGAGAAUUCUAAGGACAAUGGGGGACUUUACUCGGUUGGUUCUUGUUGAAGCGCAUACCAUAAAAUCCUCUAAAAGCCAAAUCUCUAUUGCUGCUGCUGCUCUAGUUGCUGGUCGCCGAUGCUGUCUUACUGGCACCCCUAUACAGGAUUUGUGAAAGCUUGUUUGUACUUGCGUAUAGCUUCUGGUCUUCUGGUACCAGAAGCCAAGCUGUUUCUGCAUUUGGAGGAUUUGCUUUACGUGGUAAAAGCCAAACCCCAUGAUCACAGGAUGAUGUGUGCCUCACCAAUUGUGCAAACUAAGUUGAGCCAAAGUGAUUCUCUCUGUUAAUAUUCUCAUUCUAGCAUCUCAUGUGAUUCUGAAUUUCAGUCAGAGCUUGUGAAAGGUGACUCGUUGUCAAAGGUUAGUUUAGGAAUCUGCAUUCCAAAUCCGCUCGAAUUUGUAGAGCUGAAAUCUUUGGAAUUUGAGGAAGGACUUGUCUGCAAUGAACCAAAACUAUUGUAGACCAACAGAUGCCGUGAGGUGAGCCAUGAAAUUGACCAAAUCGACUCGCAUACGACAGGAAAGAUGAAACUGUGCUUGGAGUUGUUACCAUAGGGGCUUUUAAGGGAGACGGAGAAAGGCAUGUGCAUCAAGGAGGAGAUAAGGUUGGAGAUAAAGGUCCAGUUUGAAGAAACCAUCUACACAGAGACUCGUUGAGAUCUAUGAGGAUAACGAUAAUGUGAGCAAGGACGAGUUUGCGGCUCUGCUCUCGGAGGUCAAGCUGCCACAGCCACCAAUAUGUGUUCACUGCAUAGAUUGAAACGGAUCCAUGAGUACCAUAGGAGACAUCCAGCUGCACUAGUUGUUGUUGCCAAUGAGGAACAUGAAGCACUGCUCAAACAGGAGCCUCAAGUGGAGAGAUGAAUGAUUCAUUUGCCUUCAGUGAGAUUGGAACUUAUCACUUGCCUUCAGACAAUUGAUAGCAACAACCAUCCUGAGAAUGUUGUGGAGCACUGUGAAGUCCUUCCUUGAUCCCAAUUAAGACAACUGAAAAGAUUAAUGUCCUUGGUAACAAGAGCAAGUUACUUGAAAUAAUUUAUGCUAGUGCAUUGGAGUUCCUGUCCACCUGCAAAUUGGCAAACUUAACAGUGAAGGCAGAGCUGGGUUGUUGCUUGCUUCAUAGAAGUGGAAGGCUCACAAUAGAUGGGUGUGUGCUACAGUGCGAGGCGAAUCCCCUAGACUUCCUUUCAGUCCCCAUUGUCAGUACGGCAAGUGCGGAAACUGUUGUCUUCAUCGGUGAAGUGUUAUAAGGAUGGUGCUUCUGUUUCUUGGACUCGAUCACUCGAAUUGAAGGAGGUGACAAGGCUGUUUCAACUAGUGGAGGCCUGACAUUGCAGCGAGUCCGAGUCAUGUAUGCUCGGACGUCGACUCUCGUUUUCUGGUUUGAUAUGGAGUAACAAUGAUGUCUUGGAUUCCUAGUUGGCAUGUGUACAAUAGUAAUUGUUUUUGUCUUUUUGGUAAACUAUGUACAAUAGUAAUUUGGAGUAGUUGUAUUUAUUUCAUGGGUAAUAAUUUCCACUAUGUCUUUCCUACUGUUGUAAAGGUCAUUGCUAAAAUGGGAUAAUAAAUGAGAAUGAAUUGUGGGUGAAAUAUUCUUGCAAGGAUUUCCCCUUGUGCAUCAUCACUGAUUU